GAUGAACGCUAGCUACAGGCUUAACACAUGCAAGUCGAGGGGUAACGAGAGGGAAGCUUGCUUUCCUUGUCGACGACCGGCGCACGGGUGUGUAACGCGUAUCCAACCUGCCCCCAACUAGGGAAUAACCUUGCGAAAGUAAGACUAAUACCCUAUAAUUUCCUUAGAUGUCAUCUGACGAGGAAUAAAGAUUUAUCGGUUGUGGAUGGGGAUGCGUCUGAUUAGCUUGUUGGCGGGGUAACGGCCCACCAAGGCAACGAUCAGUAGGGGUUCUGAGAGGAAGGUCCCCCACAUUGGAACUGAGACACGGUCCAAACUCCUACGGGAGGCAGCAGUGAGGAAUAUUGGUCAAUGGGCGGAAGCCUGAACCAGCCAAGUAGCGUGCAGGAUGACGGCCCUAUGGGUUGUAAACUGCUUUUAUACAGGAAUAAAGUUAGCCACGUGUGGUUAUUUGUAGGUACUGUAUGAAUAAGGACCGGCUAAUUCCGUGCCAGCCGCCGCCGUAA
rnacentral:rRNA from 1 species